rnacentral:rRNA from 1 species
UAAUCCUACGGGACGCAGCAGUGGGGAAUAUUGGGCAAUGGGCGCAAGCCUGACCCAGCAACGCCGCGUGAAGGAAGAAGGCUGUCGGGUUGUAAACGUCUUUUCUCAGGGACGAAGCAAGUGACGGUACCUGAGGAAUAAGCCACGGCUAACUACGUGCCAGCAGCCGCGGUAAUACGUAGGUGGCAAGCGUUAUCCGGAUUUAUUGGGUGUAAAGGGCGUGUAGGCGGGAAAGCAAG